AGUGGAUGGGGAGCAACCUAGUUGUGCGUGUGUAAAGGUAGUGCCAAGAAAAGCGAUGAUCAUGUUGAAAAUCAAUUCCCGGUACCCGAAACCGACACAGGUGGGCAAGUAGAGAAUACUAAGGGGCGCGAGGUAACUCUCUCCAAGGAACUCGGCAAAAUGACCCCGUAACUUAGGGAGAAGGGGUGCCACCGAGAGGUGGUCGCAGUGAAGAGGCCCAGGCGACUGUUUAGCAAAAACAUAGGUCUCUGCAAACUCGAAAGAGGAGGUAUAGGGGCUGACGCCUGCCCAGUGCCGGAAGGUUAAAGAAGUUGGUCAGUUUUAGGAUGAAGCUAGCGACUGAAGCCCCGGUGAACGGCGGCCGUAACUAUAACGGUCCUAAGGUAGCGAAAUUCCUUGUCGGGUAAGUUCCGACCCGCACGAAAGGCGUAACGAUCUGGGCGCUGUCUCGGAGAGAGGCUCGGCGAAAUAGGAUUGUCUGUGAAGAUACGGACUACCUGCAUUUGGACAGAAAGACCCUAUGAAGCUUUACUAUAGCUUGGAAUUGUGUUCGGGCUUCCUGUGCGCAGGAUAGGUGGGAGGCGUAGAAGGUAUUCUUGUGGGGAUACUGGAGCCAACGGUGAGAUACCACUCUCAGGAGGCUAGAAUUCUAACUUAAUUAAGGACAGUUUCAGGUGGGUAGUUUGACUGGGGCGGUCGCCUCCAAAAAGGUGACGGAGGCGUACAAAGGUUCCCUCAGACUGGUUGGAAAUCAGUCGAAGAGUGCAAAGGCAGAAGGGAGCUUGACUGCGAGAAGUACAGUUCGAGCAGGGUGGAAACACGGUCUUAGUGAUCCGACGGUGCUGUGUGGAAGGGCCGUCGCUCAACGGAUAAAAGUUACUCUAGGAUAACAGGCUGAUCUCCCCCAAGAGUUCACAUCGACGGGGAGGUUUGGCACCUCGAUGUCGGCUCAUCGCAACCUGGGGCGGAAGUACGUCCCAAGGGUUGGGCUGUUCGCCCAUUAAAGCGGUACGUGAGCUGGGUUCAGAACGUCGUGAGACAGUUCGGUCCAUAUCCGAUGUAGGCGUGAGAAUAUUGAGAGGAGCCUUCCUUAGUACGAGAGGACCGGGAAGGACGCACCGCUGGUGUACCUGUUAUGAUGCCAAUUGUAAACGCAGGGUAGCCAAGUGCGGAGAGGAUAACCGCUGAAAGCAUCUAAGUGGGAAGCCCACCUCAAGAUGAGUAUUCUGGUGUAAGGUCACGGGAAGACGACCCGUAAAUAGGCACGAGGUGGAAGUGCAGAGAUGUAUGAAGCCGAAGUGUACUAAUAGACCGUCGGCUUGA
rnacentral:rRNA from 1 species